CUGUACAGUCUCGAUGACCGGAAGGGAUUCCUUCCAGUCAUCGGGACCAUACAAUCUCUAUGGCCGGAAGGGAUUCCUUCCGGUCAUUGAGACUGUACAG
rnacentral:miRNA from 1 species